rnacentral:rRNA from 1 species
UACGAAGGGGGCUAGCGUUGUUCGGAAUCACUGGGCGUAAAGGGCGCGUAGGCGGCUUUAUAAGUCGGGGGUGAAAGCCUGUGGCUCAACCACAGAAUUGCCUUCGAUACUGUAUGGCUAGAGACCGGAAGAGGUAAGUGGAACUGCGAGUGUAGAGGUGAAAUUCGUAGAUAUUCGCAAGAACACCAGUGGCGAAGGCGGCUUACUGGUCCGGUUCUGACGCUGAGGCGCGAAAGCGCGGGGAGCAAACAGG